rnacentral:rRNA from 4 species
AACUUUCAACAACGGAUCUCUUGGUUCUGGCAUCGAUGAAGAACGCAGCGAAAUGCGAUAAGUAGUGUGAAUUGCAGAAUUCAGUGAAUCAUCGAAUCUUUGAACGCACAUUGCGCCCCUUGGUAUUCCAUGGGGCAUGCCUGUUCG